GACCGGCCCGGGCCGGUGGGGGCCCGGCCGGUCACGGCGGUCGGGCGGUCGGGCGGUCGCGGCGGUCGGGCGGUCGC
rnacentral:tRNA from 1 species